rnacentral:lncRNA from 1 species
GUGUUACAAGAAAAACGCUGUUUCCAAGACUGCAAAUCGCGGUAUGUCACAAAUUUCUGUGAUUAGAAAACUGCGGACUUUUUUAUUUAUGCAAUGACUUUGUCUCAGGAAAUUUAAACUCUAAAUGAUACCCAAAGCACAAGAUUCGUGGAAACCAUUGAUACAGAAAACAUGACUGAAUUAUAUUGAAACACAAGCACGAACUUGUCAGAUUUAUGACUGUUUAUUGAAUUUAAAAAGUCGACUAACAUACGCAUUUUAUU